UACGUAGGGGCCUAGCGUUGUCCGGAUUUAUUGGGCGUAAAGAGCUCGUAGGCGGUUCGGUAAGUCGGGUGUGAAACCUCCAGGCUCAACCUGGAGACGCCACCCGAUACUGCUGUGACUAGAGUCCGGUAGGGGAGCGUGGAAUUCCUGGUGUAGCGGUGAAAUGCGCAGAUAUCAGGAGGAACACCAGCGGCGAAGGCGGCGCUCUGGGCCGGAACUGACGCUGAGGAGCGAAAGCGUGGGGAGCAAACAGG
rnacentral:rRNA from 1 species